GAUGAACGCUGGCGGCGUGCUUAACACAUGCAAGUCGAACGGUGAACGAGGGAGCUUGCUCCCUCCGGAUCAGUGGCGAACGGGUGAGUAACACGUGAGCAAUCUGCCCCGAACUCUGGGAUAAGCGCUGGAAACGGCGUCUAAUACCGGAUACGACGCGCGAAGGCAUCUUCUGCGCGUGGAAAGAAUUUCGGUUCGGGAUGAGCUCGCGGCCUAUCAGCUAGUUGGUGAGGUAACGGCUCACCAAGGCGACGACGGGUAGCUGGCCUGAGAGGGUGACCGGCCACACUGGGACUGAGACACGGCCCAGACUCCUACGGGAGGCAGCAGUGGGGAAUAUUGCACAAUGGGCGCAAGCCUGAUGCAGCAACGCCGCGUGAGGGACGACGGCCUUCGGGUUGUAAACCUCUUUUAGUAGGGAAGAAGCGAAAGUGACGGUACCUGCAGAAAAAGCACCGGCUAACUUCGUGCCAGCAGCCGCGGUAAUAC
rnacentral:rRNA from 1 species